rnacentral:rRNA from 1 species
GCAAUGCCGCGUGAGUGAAGAAGGCCUUCGGGUUGUAAAGCUCUUUUGUCAGGGAAGAAAAGGGUGCGGCUAAUAUCUGCGCCUCAUGACGGUACCUGAAGAAUAAGCACCGGCUAACUACGUGCCAGCAGCCGCGGUAAUACGUAGGGUGCAAGCGUUAAUCGGAAUUACUGGGCGUAAAGCGUGCGCAGGCGGUUUUGUAAGACUGUCGUGAAAUCCCCGGGCUCAACCUGGGAAUGGCGAUGGUGACUGCAAGGCUAGAGUUUGGCAGAGGGGGGUAGAAUUCCACGUGUAGCAGUGAAAUGCGUAGAUAUGUGGAGGAACACCGAUGGCGAAGGCAGCCCCCUGGGUCAAAACUGACGCUCAUGCACGAAAGCGUGGGGAGCAAACAGGAUUAGAUACCCUGGUAGUCCACGCCCUAAACGAUGUCUACUAGUUGUCGGGUCUUAAUUGACUUGGUAACGCAGCUAACGCGUGAAGUAGACCGCCUGGGGAGUACGGUCGCAAGAUUAAAACUCAAAGGAAUUGACGGGGACCCGCACAAGCGGUGGAUGAUGUGGAUUAAUUCGAUGCAACGCGAAAAACCUUACCUACCCUUGACAUGGAUGGAAUCCCUGAGAGAUUG